rnacentral:tRNA from 2 species
CUCCUCGUAGUUCAAUGGAUAGAACGGAUGCCUCCUAAGCGUCAGAUACAGGUUCGAUUCCUGUCGAGGGGA